rfam:Lingula anatina scaffold137, whole genome shotgun sequence.
CACACUGAUGAUGAGCCUUAGGUUGAUAGGAAUUGCCGUCAGAUACGAAGCUGACGAUAACCCCCUAAGCUGAAA